UAAUAAUAAUAUAUAAUAAUAUAUUAUGGUGGAAGCGACAUGAUCGUUGAUUCGUUCUCGACUGAAAAAUAAUUCGCUUACACUGAUCAACGAAACGCAACAGGUACAUUGCGUAUCGGUGUACAUUCAGGGGCGGAUCUAUAUGGGGGUUUAGGAAGUUAGUUGACCCACAGUUAAUAUUAGUUGGCAAAAUCGGCUUCUUAAAGACUUUUAAUUUUUCUUUAAAUGCGCCGACUAUAGGUCGAUAUUAAUACUAGACUGAGACAAAUGCCCCAGUUGUCAUCCCCCAAAUGACGCCACAAAUUUAAUUAUAUAAUCAGUAAAACAUCUCUAAGCCAUGUAAGACUCCGUAAAAUAAAAUAAUUAUGAAUGUAUUCAAUGAAAAUUAUGAAUAAACUUAAAAACAAAUAUUAAAUGAUCUUUUUUUUUUGUUACAAGGUAUACUGUUAUAAUCCAGUUUCAACCCUAAUAAGUAGCCUCUUGAAAAUAGCUUGACCCACAGUUCUCUAACCGUGGAUCCACUCUGUACAUUUUUAUCGUGUUCGUCGAGCGAAGCACGUAGCGUUUUACUGCCCACUGCAGUCAAUUUGAAUAUACGUGUCGAAUAUUGCGUUUCGUUUCCGAGCCCAAGCAAUGCGAUUAAUCAGCAGAAAAACGGUUGCGUAAUCCGUAUUGCACUUGCACCAGCGUGCACCACGGAAAGCGUUUAAUUGCUGACGAGCCGGAAAAUGAAAAAAAAAAAAUACACUAAAUAAAACGAAAAAUUAUUGCGGAAACGGUAUGGUAUUAUCGGUCGAGUAAUAUUUCACCGACGUGUAAUACGCAUGCGAAAACGUGGCGGUCGGACGACGGUUGAACGAUUUGUUGAAAUAAAUUCGCGUGUUGCCCGUCGUCGUCCGGCAAGAAACCAUUUCCAACCGAUACGCGGUCGCCGCUUAGUCCUUAAAUAAAAACGUGAAAAGCUCACGGACGACAGGGCCAAUAACGGAACGGGAUCGAAGUGCCAAAACAUCACGCGAAUAACCAAAAAUACCACUGCAGUGGUAUAAGAAAUAUUUUCUCGUCAACGUUCGAAACGCGUGCGUUCUGGGCAGGCGCGUCUCCAAGAGAGGAGGGCACUGGGCUUUUCAAAUUUUUAAUACAUUUUUGUUUUUGUGAACUGUAAAAACCAGAUUAUUUUAGUAGAUACCUACCUAAUAAUUUUAUUUUGCCCAAAAAACCAUAUUAUGACAUUAAUAUGAGGUGUGUAUCAUAAUAUAGAAACGUAGCCGUACUCUAUGUUUCAGUACUAAUUUGAGGAAACAACUAGUAUCAGUUAAAACUUAAAAUGCUCCCCCUGGUUACUCUCUGAAACCACGCCUAGUUGUUGGUUUUUUUACGGCAAAACGCGGCGUCGAUUACGACGACCUGUUCAUUCAACAGGAAAUCGUUACAUUUUUCCAAACUGUCGGGAAGAACUUGAUAUACGUGCGUGACGCCAACAUUUCGACCGAGAACAUCGUAGCAACUGUGACCACGGUUAAAGGCGGUACCGGACAUCGUGUUUCGGUCUUCAAAACAAUUAGCGGUUGUCCCGUCGUCUAUGGACCGUACAACAAAAAUUUUCUUUACAUUUCAACGAUGGACAGAUAAACGAUAUGGUAACAAACGGUUUUAACGCCGUCGAACGCAAACAUUGCAAACUUCGUACACGGGCGUUUAAACAUGGUCUACGUCAUAACGUUUGCUCCUAAAGAUAACACGCGUAAGUGGACGCAACCAAACACGCGUUAGCGCACGCUUUAUUGCCUGACGACCACUGCAACGGAAUGCUCGACCGGAAAUCCACGUUUCACCAACACUGUUAUUAUUGUACACGCGUGGUCCCGUCGCACAAACGAAAGUGAACAGACACGUUUUUCGUUAACGCACGCGCACACACGGUGACGUGUUGAACAAUUUUUUUUACCUACGAGGCCCAAUGCGUUUAGACUUCAACUACUGAUGAAAGUAAUCGACAUUUUAGUCAAUGAGGUCCGAAUCGCGAAGCUUGUACAAUAAAAAAUCAUUAAAAUUCGUAUCACGAACGUUUUAUUUAUUUAUCAUUAUUUCUAGCGUCCGAAAUCAUUGAUCAUAAUAUCUUCGUGAUACUAAUUGUGCACGUGUUUUCUUUCACAAGUCAGAAACGUACACGUUAACGUCGACGCCCGUAAGUGAUUGCGUUCAGUCCGUUUUUCGCAAGUAAUUUUUUACACGUACUAAAAACACUAACUUCACUAUUUAGUUGCUCUACGUUGAUCUCAUUUCAUGCCUACGGCUUUACACCCCGUCACCAACCGGUCGAGGCACUAUCUUUACUUACUAUACGCACGCGCACGCACAUCAAUGUCAAUUAUUACGGGAGUUACUUUAUUAUUACGUAACGAACACACGAGUCGAAUGCUAUGUGUGUGUACGAAUCGCAAGGAGUAAUAUGGUACACAUACACAUAUAUACGUUAGUGCAAUUCCGUCGUGUUUACACGCGUGUCCUUAUUGUUGUUGCGAAGAUGUGAAUAAUAACAACAUCGUACGGCGAACACGACGUUAAGGCCGCGGACUUUCGGAUCCGACAAACGCGCGUGUAAUAUCCGUUCAAUAACGCGCGGAAUCCGCUCGGUCCGCCGGUCAAGGUGGUCGACAUACUACUACUACUACUACUACUACUGUGCGCGCACGCACCACGUAGCGAAUGGAUAAUUAAUAACAGAACGUUUGUCGACGGUUUCGGGAGAGACCUCGGCGGUACGGAAUUCCUUGACGGCUCACGCACCACGGCCCCGCGGCCGGUCACACGCGUGUAUUGUAACGGGGCCGAAAAUGCGCUGUCACCAUCUCGACGGAUACAGUCUCGGUACGCGGACAAGUGGUCGUCGGAGUAGAAACUGGGAGCCGAUCGCGCUACGGGUGUCCCCGAAAAAACAGUAAUGACUGGCGGAAAAAUCGCAGUCAACGAUGGGGAGGAAGAGAGAACGAUAAUCGUAAUCAUGCAGCGAAGUCCUUGCGGCCAGAACGAAGAAGGUCGUCAUCGGGUCUCCAGCAUGGAGGGCACGUCUGUCCGAGGGAGAUGGCAGCGGAUUGUUUUCAUUUCCAGCGGCCGCGGUUACGUCGUAAUAGUACAAUAUUGUUUUAUUUGGAGCCCUUAUUGAACGCGCACGUGCAACGAGAAAACGCUCCGAACAAAAGCGUCGUGUCCGUCGAAUAGUUUUUGUUCUCGCCACGUUUUUUUUUGUGUCCACGUCGUAUCCUCUGCUCGACACCUCAAGGUACUUCCUGCGUACACGUCAAAAACCGUCGGGAACCGAGAACAGUGUUUGAACGUCGCUCGCGUAACGUAUAUAUUACGUGAAAAAUGAUACGUAGAACGGCGCGUUCGGGAAAAGAUUCAAAUCAGUUUAAAUCUUCGACGACACGACGAUAUUAUAUCAUGUAUUAUCACGGAAGACCACUUCAUCAGGACGCGAUAUUACUCCAAUAACAGAAGUAUAGAAAACCAUAAGAACCCGGAAGCGCAACAUUACGCGUUCAUUUUUGUGCAACAUUUAAGUAAUCCAAUCGUAUAAUGACAAUAAAUGCAAUUCCUCCGAACGAUUUGUAAUGUCGAUUAUGUUUCGCUCCAAUAGCAAUAGACGAUUGGAAUCGUUGUGGAAAUAAAUAAAAAUCACUUUUUCCCGAAAAUCCGCAAUAACAUUACUGUGCCGUGUUCACCGUGCAGUUGUUAUAGAUAAUUGUUCGAAAAAUAUUUAUUACGAUAAUAUGUUUACCGAAACCGCAAUGCAGUCAAAACAGAAUGCGAUCGCUUCGAAAAUAAAUUCGGCCGAGGUACUUAUCUAUCCAUGGACUAUCUGUCCAUGUCUACACUGUAUUUAUUGUAAUAACAAUAAAACCAGCAAUCCGUUAAGUCAUAACGAUAUUAUGGAAUGCAUAUUUUUUUAAUAUUUUUGUCCAUGUCGAUCACCUAGACAUUUUUUUUUUUUUAAUAGUACCUUCUGCACUGCCACGGAAGAGGAUAGCGAUUUAUUUACCUUGGACAGUCGACUAUACCCAAAGAAAGAAACGCAUGUUUAGUGCACUCAACCGCUACUCGUCCCCUACUUUACGGUACAUAAUGUAUAUAUACAUAAACGAGUACUGUUAACAAUGAAAAUUGCUUUACAAACACUACGCAAAAGUAUUUUCACGCACAUAACACUAACCCAACAACAACAAUUAGUAGCCGUCAAAGCUGUUGCACUGUUCGCGAUUUUUGGACGAUUAAAAAACGUGUUAGCCGCGAAACCUGUCGAAAAGGAAGCAGCGGAGGAGGCCGUUACGGUUCUCUCUCGUAGAGUGUUUAAUAAUACCAUGGAUUAUCGCCGAGUCGACUUGUCCAUUAAAAAAAAAAAAUUAAUGAAAAAAUAAUACAGUUUUCCGAAACGUCCCGAGCCUGUUCUGGACACUACGUCAGAUUUGAGAGGCAAACCCGUAUAUUUAUUACGUACUCAUACGGGUAGUGUUAUUAGACCUGUUUCGCGAACUCCACGCGGGGGUACAGAUUUCUCGUUUUUACACGCAUUGUACGCCAUUGUUACACGUUUUACUAACCUAACCUACGCUGCGCACCGCAGAUAACCGUGCGGCCCGCAUCUUUAUCAUCAUUUAUUUAUGUAUUUUAUAUUUAUUUUUAUUUUUUGCAACAUCUUAGAUUUUACAUCAAAAUAUACAAACGAAAAUACAAUUUUUGCAGCACACUCGAUAAGCAAAGCUUGUGCCGGGGAAGCAGUUUUUAAGAAUAUUAAAUAAUCAGCCUCGACCCCUAUUUGAGUCGUGCCUAAUCACGUCGCUCUUUCAUCGGAUAUUAUGAUAGUGUGUACUGACUAAAUACGUAGGUACGAGGAUUUGUUUACAAGUAGGCCACAACAACAUGGCAUUCCACAGAACAGGAGGACUCAGAUAGAAGGAGUUGUUUGGUUCAAAAGAAGACGCUUAUGAUUUUGAUAUCAUCUUGUUUUGGUAACAUUUUUUGAAACAAAAGUCACUUACAUUGUUAUUUUUUUUCUUUAGGUUGAAUAUCGUUUUGCAGCCAACAGGUUGUAUCGGAACCCGUAGUAUAUAAUGUAUAGAUGGAGUACGAUCAACUUUUCUUUCUCACGAUUCUAUACACACCAAUAUUUUGGCCGGCACUCGAUCAUCAUUACAACCCCUGCAGGUGGAUUUGCACUCAUACCAUGAUUGUUACCGCAAUGACAUAUUAGAUAAUGGACUACGUACGUGAAGGUACCUUAUAGUGCAAUCUUCGCGUGGGCGACGAAGAAGCGUCGUAUCGUGUGGUGAAACGCGCCGUUCAUCAAAACAAUACGACUACACGCCCGAAAAAACGAAAAUGAAAGAACUACGUGUGUAUAAUAAAGACAUCGAUUAGGAUCAACCCCGAACGCUUCAAUAUGUAAAUCCUAUUUUAAUAAACGUAUUUUUUUUGUUUACAUUUGUUA